AGAGUUCGUAUAUGACUCCAGUCCUGGCGCUGGAUGCUGCUGCUGUUCCAGCUUCCUAGGUGUGGAAACUGAAGGACCAAGAGAUUAAACAGUGGUGCAAAAGUGGUAAGAAUUCAGCAUUCUCCUCGACAAGUGGACGAGCAUCUACUGUGCUUUCACAGCGGCUAUCACUAUUGCCAGCAGCAAGACUGUCAGCUCGGCGCCCUCGUCUGGUUGGAUGGGAAACUGCAGUUGCUAAGGGAGCUGGGUUUGAAUCUCUGAGGACAAAUGGGAAUUCUCACUGAUUUCUAGGACUACCCUGGGGCAGAGAUGGAGUUUCAUCACAUUGCCUAGGCUGGUCUCGAAAUCCUGGACUCAAGUGAUCUGCUGGCCUCAGCCUCCCUAACUGCUGGGACUAGAGGCCUGAGCGACCACCCCUGGCUGUAAACAUUUUCUUAGCUCAAGGAUUGCUGAAUUUGUAUCCAUUUUCUUCUCUCCUAUCUCAAUUGGGUGGGUGAAAUGAUACUGUUAAUUAUUUUCUGUUACUUUUGAAUGCUUCUUUGUGGCGAACUGAGGGCAUAGUAAUACUGUAGCAGCUAACAACCAUAUGGGUCCCGAGGGCUUUACUAAUGUUAUUUUUUAAUUUUCCUAAUUGCAGGUGUUUUAUUAUUAGCUUCAUUUUAUAGAUGAGAAAACUGGGCACAGAGAGGCUGAGUUACUUGCUCAAGUUCAUACAGGUGGUCAGUAGUAGAGCUAGGAUUUGAACCCGGCAGUCAGCCUCGGGAGUUCAUG
rnacentral:lncRNA from 1 species